rnacentral:lncRNA from 1 species
UUCGCUCGACUCCACCAUUGCCAUUAGCCCGUACAUAUCGCUGAAAGGUAAAUCCACUCCCAUUUCCCUUAGUGUACUUGAAGCUUCAACCUCAAAAGACAGCUUGAACCGUGGAAUCAAAACAGGGUACACAUUCCUUUCCUGCAACAACUGUUCUGCAACAUGUUCAUUAUUAUUCAGCAUCGUGGGAUCAUUUCUAAUUCGCUCUACUAAGCCUGCUAACCCAUCUCUUGCAGUAGGAAGAAAGAAGCACAUGGAGAACCUCCUCCUGGAAUCAUGUCCUGGCCGAUAUGGAACCUUCAGAACCUGAUGAU